rnacentral:rRNA from 1 species
AGUGAACGCUGGCGGCAUGCUUUACACAUGCAAGUCGAACGGCAGCGCGGGCUUCGGCCUUGCGUCGAUUGGCGGACGGGUGAGUAAGGCGUCUGAACGUGCCCAGGAGUGGUGGAGAGGCCGGCGAAAGCCGGAUUAAUACCACAAACGACCUCGGGGUGCAAGCGGGGGAGGGGAAUCGCACGCGCUCUUGCAGCUGCCGAUGUCGGAUUAGCUAGUUGGUGGGGUAAAGGCUUACCAAGGCGACGAUCCGUAGCUGGUCUGAGAGGACGACCAGCCACACUGGGACUGAGACACGGCCCAGACUCCUACGGGAGGCAGCAGUGGGGAAUUUUGGACAAUGGGGGCAACCCUGAUCCAGCCAUGCCGCGUGCGGGAAGAAGGCCUUCGGGUUGUAAACCGCUUUUGUUCGGGAAGAAAUCCUCUGGGCUAAUACCCCGGGGGGAUGACGGUACCGGAAGAAUAAGCACCGGCUAACUACGUG